GACGUAGGGGGACGAGCGUUGUCCGGAUUCAUUGGGCGUAAAGCGCGCGUAGGCGGUUACGCAAGUCGGUUGUGAAAAUCCGGGGCUCAACCCCGGACUUGCAGUGGGUACGGGCAGACUAGAGUGUGGUAGGGGAGACUGGAAUUCCUGGUGUAGCGGUGAAAUGCGCAGAUAUCAGGAGGAACACCGGUGGCGAAGGCGGGUCUCUGGGCAAUAACUGACGCUGAGGAGCGAAAGCGUGGGGAGCGAACAGG
rnacentral:rRNA from 1 species